CACCACCACCCGGAAGAGCGACGCGGCAAGUUGCGGGCUGUAGGGUUGUCAUGGAAACAUUCCUUACUCCGGUUGCUUAGGGCUGAGAGAUAAAUGCGCUGAGCUGGAGAAAAGGGGAGAGAGCGACUUCAUAAUGUGAUUUAAGGUGGACAAAGAAAUGAAUCUUUAUGCCUCCAGGCAGACCCCAGCCAGAGGACCACCUCACCACACCAAAUGCCUGAGGGACUAACAUUCUGGUCACAUCCACACCAGGACAUAGCAUCUAAAGAGUAUGUAAGCCCCAGAGCUGAUGUCGUCUGGGGUACAGCCUCUCCAUCCAUGCUGUCCCCAUGGAGGAACAGCCUUUCCUUUCAUGCUGUCCUCCCAGGAACUGCUCCCCACCUUGCUGUUCCACCUUGCUAUCCUCCUGGCCACUCUCAACAUUACUUUCUAAAUUAAUAAAUCUCUUUUUUGUUUUUAAGCUAA